rnacentral:rRNA from 1 species
UACGUAGGUGGCAAGCGUUGUCCGGAAUUACUGGGCGUAAAGGGCGUGUAGGCGGCCAAUUAAGUCAGAUGUGAAAUCCCCGGGCUUAACCUGGGAACUGCAUUUGAGACUGGAUGGCUUGAGGACCGGAGAGGGUAGUGGAAUUCCUAGUGUAGCGGUGAAAUGCGUAGAUAUUAGGAGGAACACCAGUGGCGAAGGCGACUACCUGGACGGCACCUGACGCUGAGGCGCGAAAGCCAGGGUAGCAAACGGGAUUAGAUACC